CGUAUAAAGGCUCGUGAACAGAUUGUAGCAUUCUUAUUUGAGAAAACCAAUCGAAGCAUUCGUUGGACUUAAAGACAGGGAAUUUUUCGAAACAUGGAUAGCAAAACGUUCAUUAUGUUUUUGGUCGUAUGUUGGACGUUUGUUGCAUUGUUGCGCUUGACAGAUGCGCGUGCAGCGUACUUCGAUGAUGAAGUUGAUGACAAUCGUUCGCUUCAAAAACGCAGCCAUCUGGACACGGCGAGAUUUCAAAUGAUGAUGUACUGCCUAACACGAGGAAAAUUUGACCCUGUCUGUCGACCUGGAGGCGAAAUCAUCGUCGUAAAGAACGAAUAGCACCCGCAAACGAAGCGAAGCACAUCUGCUGGAAUAUAUAUCAAGGGCGACAACUUUGUACAUUGGCCAAUACAUGAGCAAUCGUUGUUAAAUACUUAUCGUUUAGGGGUUUUGCAAUCACUGAUUCGCCAGCAGCAAAUACGACAUAUGGCAUACACCGUCAUGAAAUAGGGGAUGUUAUUAGUUAUGUUCUGGUUCAUUUACGUUUACUAUAACGGUCUAUAAUAGUUUAAAACAAACAAAAGCAUGAAGUAUCGCCUACGGUGAGACAACAGUAAGGUGUGGUUUUGGUUUUAAAUAUAAGCUAUUUUGGUUGAUAGAUUUUUUGAAAUAAAUAACGAUUUUAAAGUCUUAAA